AUUGCUUCUGCUUCUCUUCGUUAGCACGAAUCUCUUCUACCAGGAAAAUUAACUCAUCUCUCCUUUCAUUCCAUCACAUUCUCUCUGAAAUUCUAUUUCAUUUAGACAUUUCAUCGAGCAUUUCAAGGGUCUUAAUGAAUGAUAAUAAAGCACGAGUAUGCUUGAGUUUUCUUCCUUCGAAGUGCAAAAACAUUUAUCUUUAUAUAGAAUGGUCCAACAAAUGGUAGCUGUAGGUUCAUCGUGCUAAGCUAGCAUUUCAUUGCCACCAGAGAGGAAAAAGGAAAAGAGAAAUAUAGUUAUGAUAGUUGAUAAUCUGUCGAGAAAAAGGAGACAAUAAUAUUACGCAUUGAUGGAGUGUUUGAUUUAGGAAGUUGUAGCCUCUGUUUCUAGACCCAUAUGCUGGUUGUUUUGUCCCUGAUAAUACUCCCGAGGAUGUCACCCAGGAUGUCAUCCCUACUGUGUUGCAGCCAAGUUCAUUGAUGAUAAACGGCUCCAUACAGUUAGUCUUAAUGAUGGAAUAAAGCAGCUAGUUUUUUUACUGAUGGCAUGGAUACACGCCCAUACAGACUUCAGUGGCCUUCUUCGACCAUAAUAUUUUGACAUAUCUCCUGAAAUUUUAUUUAAAUUUGCAGCUGAGAAGCUUAAAGGUGACAUUUUUUUAUUUAAUGGAUGAUAAUCUUUUGAGCAUUAUCAUUGUCAAAUCUAAAUAUCAUUGAGCAAAGUUUAUUAUCGGGACAAUAGUGUCAGCCUAGAAU